GGAAAAGCUGGGCUUCUUAACUUCGAAACUCUUGCUGUAGGGAAAGGUGACUUCCAGGAGGGGAAAAGAUCGACUUUCUUAAAAAUUAAUAGGGAAUCUUGCUAAAAGCAGCUUUUGCCUCUACAGUUAGACUCUACAGCUACAGCAAUUGGACAAAGGAGAGAGAAACUACAUCCAGAGAGGCAGCAGGUAACGGAGAAAACCUUUCAUAAGAACGCCUAUGAAAGAGGAGAGAUUCUGCUACAAAACCGUAACUUCAAAGGGGGUUUCCGGAGGAUGACUUCAGACUGUGAAGAAACGAAAAGCACCUGGUGUUACAAAGGCUGAUGCUGUUACCAGGAUCAGAAAGCAAAACUCCUCUCCUCCUGUGCCCUCUACCGGCAAGGAUGAGUAUUGUGCGGGUUGGCACAGAAAACACACUUGAAGGGCUCAGUCCAGUUUCACAGCGCUGACUGUGUGAACUCGGAAUGAAAGGUCAUGCGUUGCUGAAAGGCGCAUGGAGCAAUCGUUCCACCCGCUGCCCUCCUUCCCUCUCUGAUCCAAAGAGCUUCCCUGUGUGGGACCGGGCUGUAUAAGGGUUGGUGGCGGCCAAGAAGCUGACCUAGGCGCACAGUCUGAGGCCUGUGUCCCCUCGCCUAGGGAAAGGAAAAGUAUGCGGAAGGCUGCACGCUCUCUGGCUGUGUGGGGAAAGCGCGUGAUCACGGAGGACAGAGCAAAGAACGAUUUUCCAUCACCUAUAUUUUCCCUAUCCUCUGUUUAUCCCCAAAGAAGAAGAAUCUGGACCUCUCCCAAGUAGUAUCUUCAGGUUCAAAACCGCAGUAAGUACCAGUGUUGAAAUUUACAUUCUGGAAGUAGGAAAUGGACACCAAACAGUUAAGCUAACAAAAUCAUUCAGAAAGGAAUAAGAACUGUGAAAGCAAAGAGAGAGUUAAGUGAUGGGAAAAUUGACUGUCAUGGGUGAAAAGGGCUACUUCUACUGAUAA
rnacentral:lncRNA from 1 species